GACGAACGCUGGCGGCGUGCCUAAUACAUGCAAGUCGAGCGAGGUUGUUUGGAAUGCUUGCAUUUCAAACAACCUAGCGGCGGACGGGUGAGUAACACGUGGGCAACCUGCCCUGUAGACUGGGAUAACUUCGGGAAACCGGAGCUAAUACCGGAUAAUUCUUUUAGCCUCAUGGCUUUAAGCUAAAAGGCGCUUCGGCGUCACUACAGGAUGCGCCCGCGGUGCAUUAGCUAGUUGGUGGGGUAACGGCCUACCAAGGCAACGAUGCAUAGCCGACCGGAGAGGGGGAUCGGGCACAUUGGGACUGGGACACGGCCCAAACUCCUACGGGAGGCAGCAGUAGGGAAUGUUCCACAAUGGACGAAAGUCUGAUGGAGCAACGCCGCGUGAGUGAUGAAGGUUUUCGGAUCGUAAAACUCUGUCGUAAGGGAAGAACAAGUGCGUUAGGUAAUGAACGCACCUUGACGGUACCUUAUUAGAAAGCCACGGCUAACUACGUGCCAGCCGCCGCAGUAA
rnacentral:rRNA from 1 species